ensembl:lncRNA
AUGUGGUGGAGGCUCCUCACACACAGACAGGUGGAUGAGGUCAUCCCUGCGUGGAUGUUCCAAGGACAACGGCUGGAUGUUCCAAGGCCAACGUCUGGCCAAUCAGAGGACGUCAGAGGACAUCCAGUAGCGCAGCAGCUUCAGCCCCAGCCCCAGCCCCGCACUGCACAGCCAAAGCUGACCACCUCUCCACUGGACAUCUUUACUGUGGACAGGAAUCGAAUGAACAAUAGAGCUAGAAAUUGUAAUCAAAAUACAAAUGACUUAUUAUUAGAAUCCAACAGGGGACCUUUUCGAGGUCACAGCAACAAUGAUUAUCUUAGCUCAGGGAUAAAGUAUCCUGGACAAGCCCCCAGUUGUAUUAGGUCCCUCUUUAAGAAUAAAAAAAAUACGAAAACACAACAACCAAAGAAACUAAAACUAAUUUGAAGUAGUUGUGAAUUAAGGGUAAUACAGGGUACCCCAAACUUACCUAGUCCUAAACCUCCUACCACAUACCUUUCCUUACAGAUUUUAACAAGUGUGCUUACACAGAAGGCAACAACAGUAGUCAAUGUUAGAGAGAGUGAACUUUCAGGCAGACUUCUUAUAUUGUGGGCUUGUAUGAUGAUUGACCAGCUUCAAACAUGUUGGAUCAAUGAGUCGCGAGGGAAGACUUGUUGUGGAAAUUUCUCUUCUGCUGAUGAAGAAUGAAAUAGAGAACUUCUGCCGGCCAACAAGGUUUUAUUUUCUUUGCAAAGAAAAGGUUAAUCAACACGCGAGCGGUCAAAGAUGAAGAAAGACCCCGAGCAUGGGGAGACCUAAACAUUUAUACCUGAGGAACACCUCUUUCACAUCCCUUUGUCUGCUGCAGGGGUCUGCCCCUGCAGGAAGUGUUUUCACACCCUUUUGUCUAUUGCAGGUAUCGGCGUUGACCCCCCGUUGGUGUGUUUCAUAUCUGAGGUAUCCUACAGGAUCUUGUAUUUAGGUGCAAAGUUGAGUCUAGACAUCACAAUUUGAAAAACACAAAAGGACCUGGUAUCUUGUGUUAGGAAGGGGGAGGUUGGGCAUCUGUAGUGGCUGAAACCAAAAAAUGUAUUUACCAUUACAGACCGCACAGCUGGAAAACAAUCAGUCUUGUUUGCCCCUGGAAGGAACGCAGGAGAAAACCCAACUGGCUCUGCUUGGAGAGACCUGAAAAUGGCUGUCCACCAACGUUCACCAUCCAACCUGACAGAACUGGAGAGGAUCUGCAAGGAAGAAUGGCAGAGGAUCCCCAAAUCCAGGUGUCAAAAACUUGUUGCAUCAUUCCCAAGAAGACUCAUGGCUGUACUAGCUCAAAAGGGUGCUUCUACUCAAUACUGAGCAAAUGGUCUGAAUACUUAUGACCAUGUGAUAUUUCAGUUUUUCUUUUUUAAUAAAUUUGCAAAAGUUUCUAUAUUUCUGUUUUUUUCUGUCAAGAUGGGGUGCUGAGUGUACAUAAAUGAGAAAUAAAAUGAACUUUUUUGAUUUCAGCAAAUGGCUGCAAUGAAACAAAGAGUGAAACAUUUAAAGGGGUCUGAAUACUUUCCGUACCCAUGGUAUAUCAGUUAAGUAUGUUGUUUAUUUACAGAACAAGACAACCAGUGGAUGCAUACUAGAUAAUCUAUCAUUCUUCAAUGACAACUGUUACCACCACCAAACAGUGAGGAGAGCAUUUCACCACUUUUUGUCAUUGACACAAUUCCAGUAUGACUUGUUACUAGUGUUAACCCUGGUGUUGGGUCUGUGGGACCCGUUUUCAUUCUUUAUUAAAGAAAAAUGAUACAAUUAAUUAAUUUUCAAACUGAGACCACUGACUUUGGCUCAUUUUCUGUGAAGAACAUAUAUCAGAAUACAUAUUUAAUGACCACACACCAUACACCCCCCCUACACAUUUCUAUUACAUAUAAGAUGUCCGGGUCCACUGGACCCGGGGCUAAUAGAAGUGUGGAAAUUGAUGUUCUGUUUACCGCACCCACCCACACCCACACCCAUACCCAUACCCACACCCACACACACACACACACACACACACACACACAGCAGGCCUAGACAGGAGGAGGACAGAGGGUCAAAUGUGCCAGAAAAUGAGAGCAGACAGUGUUGACAAACAAUGUUGCAAUGUGACCUAACAAAGGUAAAGGGCAAAUAUUAACCAUAUAUAUUGUUUAUACUGCUUGUAAUUGGGAUAAGGUAAACAUCUGUUCAGUAUUUUAACAUAAAAGUGUUUGAUUGUGAGGUAUUAAAAGCCACAAAAUGCAACGGGUCCAUCAGACCCACAAACGCUGGCUGAGUAACAACAAUAUGAACAAUACACAAGGGUUAAUGUUAUAAAGAGUUCGGUCUAGACCUGCUCUAUUUGAAAAGUGUCCUGAGAUAACUUUUGUUAUGAAUUGGUGCUAUACAAAUAAAAUUGAAUUGAAUAGUGUGUAAACCACCCAGCUGUGGUAGUUGCACAUGCAAUAGGAAACUGGCCUUUGAUGUCCCAAGAAAGAAUAAGAAUGUAAAGAAUGUAAUUAUAUUUUUACUAUCUGUACUUAUGUGUCUGUACAAAUGUUUGCCUGUAUCAAGGAUGUAAGCAGUCAAUAAAUGAUUAGUAACUUCCUUGUAUGUUGCUAGGGAAAAUUGUCCAUCUUUCUUGAAAUCACAGAUUUGUUGGUAGCAUUGACUCUAUGCCUCUCUGUUAAAUGAUGUGUGGGUCUGUCAUGCCUUUAAUAUUGUUUUUUUAGUUGGGACAACAAUUUUGUGUGUUUUAGUAGUAGGAACAUCCAAGGACCACAAUACAUUCUGCUAUCUAAAAAUGUAUUGGCUAAUUGGGUCUUGAAGAAAAUCAAACUUUUCUCAUUAAAAAAUGUUAUUAUCUGGAUAACCAGACGACAACAGAACACAACAGUCAACAACACAUCCAAUUAUUAGAACAUGUGACUGAUACUCUCUUUAUGACCAAUUCCACCAAAAAAGGCCAGAAGAGAAGCUGAGAAGCCUAAACAUCUGCUCCAGCCUGCAAACUGAAGUCAGCUCUGCCGUUGUGGAGCAGUUUAAUGGAGAACUCGCAUCUGUACGGUAUUCACUGUGCCAAAUGAAAGGGGCUCACUUUAAACAGAGUGCUGAUUGAGCUGCACAACAAAAAAAUUAACAGAAGUUUUAAGACAGUAAUGGAAGCUAUACAGAAAAUGUAAAUGGUAAAUGGACCUGUACUUGUAUAGCGCCUUUCUAGUCUUCCAACCACUCAUACAUUACGUGCCACAUUCACCCUUUCACACCCGGAGAACGAUAAUUGUUUUUAUGAAUUUUACUUUACUUUUCUUUGUUUUUUGUUGUUGAAAAUAGACAUAUCAAAAGGUAUAAAUCAAAGUAUUUAACAACAAGUAUACAAUAUCACAGUAGGAAAAGGUAAGUAUGGUAACUGGUAGGGCAUUUAUUGUAAACUCAAGUCUGAGAAUGGGUGAGGGGAAUAUGGAGCUGAAGCAGAUAGUAAGGGGCUGAGCUGAGCAGAGAGGGUCUGUGGUUGCCGAUCCAGGGUCCAAAGAGGUCCAAAACUGAAGAGGGAUAGAUGAGACAUACAUUGGUGUUAAAAAAAAAGUCA